GGCAGGGCCAUUUUGUUGAUUCUG
rnacentral:siRNA from 1 species